GGGUCCCUCAGGACCUGUGCCGCCACCAUGGGAGAUUCCUGCCCCGGACACGUGGUAGACGUCCCGAGGAUGUGCGGGCAGCUUCAAGCCGGCCCCAUCUGCCACGGGGCUCUUCAGUUGUGAGGCCGGGCACCCUGCCCCCCGGAGGGAAGCUCUCCAGGGCUGACAGGAUGGGAGCCCGGACACGGAAUGACAGGCGGAGAUGGUGGCAGCAGGCUCCCUGCUCUGGGCCCUGCAGGGUGGGCGUCCCAGCGGCACAGUCGGCGGCUGGCCCGGCCUCUCCAUCAGCAGCCAGGUAAUUCGUGUCCCUUUCUGGCCGUGAGAGCAGAUCACCCUGGUCAGGAAGCUCCUGAUGCGUAAGAGUGACCCGUCCAGCCGGACAGGCCAGGCCUGAGCCCCAGGAGGCGAGCCCUGUGAAGGCAGCGAACACCCCGAGGGCCCUUCACUGGUUCCCCAGCCUCUACGAAGGCCACAAAAUUCACACCCGUGGCCCCACUGCACCCAGGAGGGCAAUGCGGACACCACCCGCCUUCUAGGGAAGCGCUGCAGGCAGAAACCCCACAGGCAACGUCAAGAACUUCCCCAGCAU
rnacentral:lncRNA from 1 species